CUGAAGGUCACCUUCCAGGUGCAGCCCAUCUCAUCCAACUGGCUUACCUCCGUUUGCGUGGCUUCGUCCUUGCAGUGAUGGGUUGUGUUCUUUGCCUUACUGCAAUGGGAGCGGAGGAAUUGAGAGUGUGGCAUCCCAUGCCUGGCACCACGCUGGCAAGAUCUGGGUUGGGAUCUGGGGAGUCUGUUUCGUGGAACCUACUCCUGAUGGUGAUUCCACAAAGCAAUGCCUCGAGUUCCUGGAUGAACACUGGUUCCCCCCAAAGGAGAUUUUCUUUGCACAGGACUUAAUGUCUUUAGCUUGUAUUGUACUGUCCUUAGCUCUAGCUUUCAUAUCUUUUGCUUUGUGGAUCCUUUUCUACAAUGCAAGACCGAAAAACACAUUGCUCAAUUUUUUCUGGGUUGGGGGAGUUCUAAAUGUACUGCCUAGUUUCACCAUUCUUAUCCCACUUUUGUGGAAUAUGCACUCUUUACUUGCCAAUGAAGAGAUAAAGUUCCCCACUGAUUUCCGUUUGCCUGCUCUUCCCUAUGAGGAGACUCUUGGUUUGUCCAUCUAUGUGGGGAUUUCUGCCUCAGGAUUCCAGGUGACCAGAUUCUUCUUCAUUUUCAGUGAGAAAUUUCGGAUGAGGCCUAAUGGAGGCCAUCCUAUCAUUCUGGUCACCCCAAUACAAUCCACCAGCAGCAAUAUUUUGACACGUGAAAAGGCUGAGGGAGCCAGGAACGAUUUGGGCCCCCCUUCUUUUUGGACGUCAUUUGGUAUGUUCCAUCAGACACGAGGAGAAGCCAAAUGGCUCCCUAUUUCUCAGCAUGGAGAAGUGGUCCAGAGUGAGACUGGGCUUGGCUGAAGGUCACUUUCCAGGUGCUCCCGGCUCAUCCAACUGGCUUACCAUUGUUUGUGUGGCUUCGUCCUUGCGGUGAUUGGUUGGAUCCUGUGCCUUACUACAACGGAAGAGUGUGGCAUCCCAUGCCUGGCCCCGCUGUGGCAAGAUCUGAGUUGGGAUCUGGGGAGUCUGUUUCCUGAGACCUCCUCCUGACGGCGAUCCCACAAAGAGGCAGUGCCUGGAAUUCCUGGAGGACGAUUGGUUCCUUCCAGAGAGAAUUGCUACCGUGCAGGAUCUGGUGUAUUUAGCUAGCAUUGUGCUAUCCUUAGCUAUUGUUUUCAUGUUUUUUGCCUUGUGGAACCUUUUCCAAAAGGCUAGACCUAAAAAUGCUUUGCUCAAUUUUUUCUGGGUUGGGGGAAUUCUAAACGUACUGUCUGGUUUCAUUAUUCUUAUUCCACUUUUGUGGAAUGAGCAUUCUGUACUAGCACAUGAAGAGAUUAAAUUCCCCAUUGCCUUCCGUUUGCCUGCUCUUCCCUAUGAGCAGACUCUUGCGUAUGCCAUCUAUGUGGGGAUUUUUGCCUUAGGAUUCCAUCCAACCAGUUUUUUCUUCAUUCUCAGUGAGAUAUUUCAGAUGUGGCCCAAUCCUAUCAUUAUGGUCACUCCAAUACAAUCCACCAGUAGCAGUGGCACGGAAACCUGUCCCCAUUAUGGAUCAUCCAUAUCUCUUGAUCAACUACUAUCUGAAAAACUAUAUUUAAUGUUAAAGGGGUGUAAAUAUUUUAAAAAGUAGUUUUUAUUGUGUGUUGAUUCCAAAAAUUACAUUGAGCUGUUUCUGUUUUUACUUUGUGUUAACAAUAUGUUUAAAUGUAGAAUAAAUUGUUUGUAACUCAAUAAAUUAAAAAGUAUUCACGA